GGAAAGCCUUUAAGAAACCUGACACC
rnacentral:piRNA from 1 species